rnacentral:ncRNA from 2 species
GUCUAUCUUCGGGGCAGGGUGAAAUUCCCGACCGGCGGUGAUGAGUAUUAUUUACUCUAAGCCCGCGAGCCUAUAAUAGCUAAAGCAUAAUUCAAUGAAAGCUUAGCAGCAAAAUGCUGAUGUGAUCUUUGGAUGUUCUAGCUUGGGGCAGGAUUUGGUGCGAAUCCAAAGCCGACAGUACAGUCUGGAUGGGAGAAGAUGGAG